rnacentral:sRNA from 1 species
AGUAGCGGGACGGAGGGCGGGGGUGGCAAGAAAGUCAAGGUUUAGAAGUAAGCCGGAGACGCCUAACCCUGGUAACGUCCGAAUGGGAACGGGAUAGGAAGGAAGGCCUUUGAGAGAGGAGGCGUAAACCCAGGAACAGUGACAGUGUAGGACGAAAGGCCUAAGUUUGUUGCGGAAGAUGGGCAGCUCUCAAAAAAGGCACAAACAAUUGAAGGAUGGAUACCAUGGCAUAUGUUAAAAGCGUGUUGAAAGGAAAAUAAGAAAGCCAGGAAUCUCAGGAUGAAUCAGUCUAGAUCGAGAUCAGAUGGUGGCAGUGAAGAAACCUUACCUCAAGACCAUAAUCAUCAUGAAAAUGAGAGAAGAUGGCAGCAAGAGCGUCUCCACAGAGAAGAGGCCUAUUAUCAGUUUAUUAAUGAACUCAAUGAUGAAGAUUAUCGGCUUAUGAGAGACCAUAAUCUUUUAGGCACCCCUGGUAAGAGAUGGGUAAAAGAGGAAACACCCUUUUUUCCUCAUUUAGAUGGAAGGAUUUCAAGAUAAGGAGAAUUGGUAUUCUUUUUCCCUGCUUCUCUUUAUGAAAAUAUAGUAUAUUGUUUUUGUGAGUUUAAGAACUUUUUAGUAUAAUAAAGUAGAAAA